CCUACGGGCGGCUGCAGUGGGGAAUAUUGGACAAUGGGCGAAAGCCUGAUCCAGCCAUGCCGCGUGUGUGAAGAAGGCCUUCGGGUUGUAAAGCACUUUCAGUGGGGAAGAAAGCCUUGGGGCUAAUACCCUCGAGGAAGGACAUCACCCACAGAAGAAGCACCGGCUAACUCCGUGCCAGCAGCCGCGGUAAUACGGAGGGUGCGAGCGUUAAUCGGAAUUACUGGGCGUAAAGCGCGCGUAGGCGGUCUGAUAAGCCGGUUGUGAAAGCCCCGGGCUCAACCUGGGAACGGCAUCCGGAACUGUCAGGCUAGAGUGCAGGAGAGGAAGGGAGAAUUCCCGGUGUAGCGGUGAAAUGCGUAGAGAUCGGGAGGAAUACCAGUGGCGAAGGCGGCCUUCUGGACUGACACUGACGCUGAGGUGCGAAAGCGUGGGUAGCAAACAGGAUUAGAUACCCUGGUAGUC
rnacentral:rRNA from 1 species